AUGGCAAAAGCAGACAUGGACACGCUCCAACUAGCCUGCAUCCAGAUAGCCAUAGCCUUGCUCUUGCUUACUCAAGCCAAGAGCACCACAGAGGACACAUCUGCCGUGCGUCCAAAUAAUACGGUCCCCAGCUGUAUUGCCGGUGAGAGGUCUGCCCUUCUCGCCUUCAGGGCAGGUCUAUCAGACCCUACCAACCUCCUUCCAUCAUGGAAGGGUGAUGACUGCUGCCGAUGGAAGGGCGUCUACUGCAGCAACAGAACCAGCCAUGUUGUCAGGCUCGAUCUCCGAGGCCCAGGUUACAGAACCGGCAAUGAGAGCAGGCAGGUACUAGCAGGCAACAUAAGUUCCUCGUUGCUUGGUUUACAUCAUCUUCGGUAUCUCGACCUCAGCUACAAUCGGUUUGACAAGAUGCAAAUACCAGAGUUCAUGGGUUCUCUCCAUCAGCUAAGAUAUCUUGACCUAUCGUGGUCACAGUUCAUUGGAAGGAUACCACCGCAGCUGGGUAAUCUCUCCAACUUACAGUACCUAAAUCUUGACACCAUCUCAUACGUGAGUGUUGAUUCUUCUUUCCAUAGAGGCACAUAUUCCACCGAUAUCACCUGGUUGUCACGGUUAACUUCCCUUGAGCACCUGGAUAUGACUGGGGUGAACCUCAGUACAAUUGUUCACUGGCUUCGCGUGGUGAACAUGCUUCCAACUCUGAAAGUUCUUCGCCUUAUCCAUUGCCAGCUUAGAAUUAGCCCUGAUUCUCUAGAUAUCUCGAGCAAUGGUUUCUAUGGCCCGUUUCCAGAUGCGAUAGGUAAUAUGACCUCCAUUGUGGAGCUUGAUUUAUCAGAUAAUAACCUUGUGGGCAUGAUACCAUUUAAUAUGAAGAACCUAUGUAAUUUGGAGACAUUAGAUUUUUCUGUGAACAAUAUCAACGGGAGUAUAGCAGAAUUAUUCCAUCGAUUACCCAGUUGUUCGCGGAAUAAUCUACAAUGGUUGUCUCUACACCACAACAAUCUGACUGGAAGCCUGCCUACUACAGCAGUAGAAAGAUUAAGUAACCUGAGCUGGCUGGAUCUACACCACAACAAACUCACAGGUCAUGUCCCGGUGUGGAUAGGAGAGCUCAAACAACUAAUGAUGUUGGACCUUAGUUAUAACAACCUGGACGGGGUCAUACAUGAAGGUCAUUUAUCACGUCUAGAUAUGUUGGAGGAAUUGAGAUUAUCAGACAACUCCAUAGCCAUCACAGUGAGCCCAACUUGGGUUCCUCCUUUCAGUCUAGGAACAAUUGAACUUCGGUCCUGUCAGCUAGGGCCAAAAUUCCCAAUGUGGCUUAGAUGGCAAACACACGUAAUGAGUCUUGAUAUAUCAAACACAAGCAUAAAUGAUAUAAUACCGGAUUGGUUUUGGACAGCAGCUUCCUCAGUAAUGUCUCUGAAUAUCCGAAAUAAUCAGAUUACAGGAUUCCUACCAUCAACAAUGGAAUUUAUGAGAGCAAAACAAAUGGAUUUCAGUUCUAACCAGCUUGGUGGUCCAAUACCUAAGCUUCCCAUCACUCUAACCAACCUGGAUCUCAGUCGGAACAAUCUAGUUGGGCCACUACCAUUAGACUUUGGAGCGCCAGGGCUUGAAAACCUUUUUCUAUAUAACAACAUGAUCUCUGGGGCCAUUCCAUCUUCUUUGUGCAAGUUGCGAUCAUUGCAGUCAUUAGAUCUAUCAAGAAAUAACCUCAAUGGACCAAUUACUGAUUGCCCAGUCAAUGAGUCCAGCACAAACAUGACAGAUCUUAGCAUUGUUAAUCUAAGCUUCGGAAACAACAACCUCUCUGGUGAAUUUCCUUCACUUCUCCAGAAAUGUCCACGACUCAUCUUUCUUGAUCUCGGACAUAAUCAAUUCUCCGGGGCUUUACCAGCAUGGAUUGGGGAGAAGCUAUCAUCUUUGUCAUUCUUACGACUGAGAUCCAAUAUGUUUCAUGGUCAAAUUCCAGUCGAGCUUACAAAGCUUGUUAAUCUUCAAUAUUUGGACCUUGCAUACAACAAUAUAUCAGGGUGCAUACCAAGAUCUAUUGUUAACUGCACAGGCAUGAUACAAAAAGGUGACAAUUCUGAUGAACUUUUGUAUGGAUUCACUAGUGGAACAAGGCUUUUUCCUGAGAAUGAACUAGUUGACAAUGCGGACAGUGUCACUGUACUUACAAAAGGUCAAGAGAGACUAUAUACAGGAGGAAUCAUAGAUAUGGUGAAUCUUGAUUUAUCUUGUAAUAGUCUUACAGGAGAGAUUCCUGAAGAAAUCAGCACUCUUAUGGAAUUGAAGAACCUGAACUUAUCAUGGAACAACUUCAAUGGAAAAAUCCCUGAGAAUGUUGGUGCCUUAAUGCAAGUGGAGUCACUCGACCUAUCGCACAACGAUUUGUCUGGUGAAAUCCCUUCAAGCUUAUCGGCUCUCACAUCACUGAGUUGCCUGAACCUGUCCUACAACAAUCUGAGAGGAAGGAUACCAACUGGAAAUCAACUGCAAACACUCGAAGACCCAACAUAUAUUUAUAUUGGCAACCCCGGCCUCUGCGGUCCUCUCUCUGUAAAUUGUUCGUCACAGCCAGAGCCAAUUCCAGGAGAAAACCACGGAGAUGCAAGCGGCGACUUGGUUUCGUUUUUCCUCGCCAUGGGCUCUGGAUAUGUGAUGGGUCUCUGGGUGGUAUUCUGUACCUUCUUGUUCAAGAGGAGAUGGAGAGUUUCAUGGUACUCGCUCUGUGACAGCCUGUAUGAUUGGGUUUAUGUACAAGUGGCUGUUACCUGGACUUCCUUCAGAGCUGAAAUUAAUGGGUAG
rnacentral:rRNA from 1 species